GAUGAACGCUAGCUACAGGCUUAACACAUGCAAGUCGAGGGGCCGGCGUACGGGUGAGUAACGCGUAUCCAACCUUCCCAUUACUGUGGGAUAACCUGCCGAAAGGCAGACUAAUACCGCAUAGUAAGGGAUGGGGAUGCGUCUGAUUAGCUUGUUGGCGGGGUAACGGCACACCAAGGAGACGAUCAGGAGGGGUUCGGAGAGGCAGGUCCACCACAAUGGAACUGAGGCCCGGUACAAACUGGUAGGGGGGGCAGCAGUGAGGAAGACUGGUCAAGGGACGGAGGUCUGAACCAGCCAAGUAGGGUGAAGGAUGACGGCGUAGGGGUUGUAAGCUGCUUUUGUAUGGGGAUAGGUACCAUAUGAAUAAGGACCGGCUAACUCCGUGCCAGCAGCCGCGGUAAUUC
rnacentral:rRNA from 1 species